rnacentral:rRNA from 1 species
CCCUUAGAUGGUCUGGGCCGCACGCGUGCUACACUGAGUGGAUCAGCGGGUCAGGUUGCGCGAAAGUGUUUCCUAAUCUUGAAAUCCGCUCGUGAUGGGGAUUGACGGUUGCAAUUUUCCGUCAUGAACGAGGAAUACCUUGUAAGCGCGGGUCAUCAUCCCGCGCUGAAUACGUCCCUGCCCUUUGUACACACCGCCCGUCGCUCCUACCGAUUGAGUGGUCCGGUGAGGCUUUGGGAUCUGAGCGGAAAGAGCGUUUCGCUGUUUCUGCUCGGAAAACUCAGUCGAACCUUAUCAUUUAGAGGAAGGAGAAGUCGUAACA